rnacentral:lncRNA from 1 species
AAAUCUCUCCGUUUUCAUGCCAAACUGCUCAUCAUGUUUUCAAGCACAGCGUUUCGUUAGUGUGUAAGUAGAAAUUCUCUAUUUUUUCCUCAGACUUUUUUGCUAUUUUCUAAACUGCAAACAUCAAAAUUACAUGAAACGCUCCUGCUCGAAAAGCACAAGUCCAACAAGGAAGCAACUCAUAAAUGUUACUGUAAUCAUUGGUAAUUACUCCACUCACCUAGUGACAAUUUAAAAGGUUCUUCAUCAAGUCAUUAAAAAACUCAAUGGAAGUGUGGAGCAAACACUGUGUCAGGUUUCUGCAGAAAAUACCUAGUAAAAUGUAUCUUUUCAUGUAAAGGAUAUUAAAAUUGUUAUCUAAAAAAUUUCCUUGUUUGUUCACAGAGGCUGCAUAAUCGGCAGACUGUAAAUAUUUUCUUAAUCAUCGAUAACUAUUCAAAGUAACAAUCACCAAAUCACUCUUUGAAAACCUGUCUUUUUCCGUUUGAAAAUGCUCACCAUGUUUUCAAGCACAGCAUUUCGCUAAUGUAAGCUGCAUAAUCGGCAGAUUGCUAAUCAUUUUAUGAAUCAUCACACAUUGAAAACCUGUCUUUUUCCGCAUGAAAAUGCACACCAUGUUUUAAAGCACAGCAAUUCGCUAAUGUAUGCUGCAUAAUCGGCAGAUUGUUAAUCAUUUUAUGAAUCAUCAAACAUUGAAAACCUGUCUUUUUCCGUAUGAAAAUGCUCACCAUGUUUUCAAGCACAGCAUUUCGCUAAUGUAAGCUGCAUAGUUGGCGAACUGUAGAAGAUCCCGCAAUCAUGAUAUGUGAAUUUAAAUCUUCAAUGUUAUGUGUUAAACUUGUCUACGUCUAGUGAUGCUCAAUGUUGUUUAUCUAAUGAUUAGUUUCUGUCACAUCACCUAGCAAGAGUGUGUCACCAUUGCCCUCGAUUUUGUUGUAAAAUGAAAAUGAAAUUUUAUCAAUUAAAGCCUUCUAAAAUCUUGCUCAUAUCUUGCCUUUUGU